GAUGAACGCUAGCGACAGGCUUAACACAUGCAAGUCGAGGGACCGGAGCACGGGAGAGUAACACGUAUCCAGCAUGCAUUUUACUGGGUAAUAGCCUAUCGAAAGAUAGAAUAAUACCCAAUAUAAAGGACGAGGAUGCGUUCCUUUAGGUUGUUGGUGAGGUACCGGCCAACCAAGCCUUCGCUGGAUAGGUGUUCUGAGAGGAAGGUCCCCGACAUUGGAACUGAGACCCAGUCCAAACUCCUACGGGAUGCAGCAGUGAGUAAUAUUAGUCAAUGCGCGGUAGCCUGAACCAGCCGAGUAGCGUGAAGGAUGAAGGCUUAUGAGUCGUAAACUUCUUUUAUAUAAGAAUAUGUAUUAUAUGAAUAAGGAUCGGCUAACUCCGUGCCAGUAGCCGCGGUAAUUC
rnacentral:rRNA from 1 species